GAUGAACGCUAGCGGCAGGCCUAAUACAUGCAAGUCGAGGGGCAGCACGGGUAGCAAUACUUGGUGGCGACCGGCGCACGGGUGCGUAACACGUAUACAAUCUGCCUUUAACAGGGGGAUAGCCCGGAGAAAUCCGGAUUAAUACACCAUAACAAAUUGACUGGCAUCAGUUGAUUUUGAAAGCUCCGGCGGUUAGAGAUGAGUAUGCGUCUGAUUAGCUAGAUGGUGAGGUAACGGCUCACCAUGGCGACGAUCAGUAGGGGAUCUGAGAGGAUUCACCCCCACACGGAUACUGAGACACGGAUCCGACUCCUACGGGAGGCAGCAGUAAGGAAUAUUGGACAAUGCCCGCAAGGGUGAUCCAGCCAUGCCGCGUGCAGGAAGACGGCCCUAUGGGUUGUAAACUGCUUUUACACCGGAGAAAACCUUCCCUCGUGAGGGGAGCUGAUAGUAUGGUGAGAAUAAGCAUCGGCUAACUUCGUGCCAGCCGCCGCCGUAA
rnacentral:rRNA from 1 species